AACCAUAGAAACCUGCGGAGUACCUGCGGAGGGAUCAUUACCGAGUGUGGCCCCCCUAAAAAAGGGGGGUACCUCCCGUCCUUUGCAGGGCCCUUUGGGGCUUUUUGAACUUUGCUUCGGCGGGGUUAUCCCGCCGGAACACCCUCAAGAAAAUCUUUUUAAAAAAACUGUUGUCCGAGCACUUUUGCGAAUAAAACAAAACUUUCAACAACGGAUCU
rnacentral:misc_RNA from 1 species